rnacentral:rRNA from 1 species
UCUAGCCUCGGGGCGCAGCAGUAGGGAAUCUUCCACAAUGGGCGAAAGCCUGAUGGAGCAACGCCGCGUGGGUGAAGAAGGUCUUCGGAUCGUAAAACCCUGUUGUUAGAGAAGAAAGUGCGUGAGAGUAACUGUUCACGUUUCGACGGUAUCUAACCAGAAAGCCACGGCUAACUACGUGCCAGCAGCCGCGGUAAUCCGUAGGCGGCAGGCGUUAUCCGGCUUUAUUGGGCGUAAAGUGAACGCAG